rnacentral:rRNA from 1 species
GAUGAACGCUGGCGGCGUGCCUAAUACAUGCAAGUCGAGCGAACAGAUGAGGAGCUUGCUCCUCUGACGUUAGCGGCGGACGGGUGAGUAACACGUGGAUAACCUACCUAUAAGACUGGGAUAACUUCGGGAAACCGGAGCUAAUACCGGAUAAUAUAUUGAACCGCAUGGUUCAAUAGUGAAAGACGGUUUUGCUGUCACUUAUAGAUGGAUCCGCGCCGCAUUAGCUAGUUGGUAAGGUAACGGCUUACCAAGGCAACGAUGCGUAGCCGACCUGAGAGGGUGAUCGGCCACACUGGAACUGAGACACGGUCCAGACUCCUACGGGAGGCAGCAGUAGGGAAUCUUCCGCAAUGGGCGAAAGCCUGACGGAGCAACGCCGCGUGAGUGAUGAAGGUCUUCGGAUCGUAAAACUCUGUUAUUAGGGAAGAACAAAUGUGUAAGUAACUAUGCACGUCUGGACGGUACCUAAUCAGAAAGCCACGGCUAACUACGU